rnacentral:rRNA from 1 species
AUUGAACGCUGGCGGCAGGCCUAACACAUGCAAGUCGAGCGGUAACACAAGGGAGCUUGCUCCUGAGGUGACGAGCGGCGGACGGGUGAGUAAUGCCUAGGUAUCUGCCCAGUCGAGGGGGAUAACAGUUGGAAACGACUGCUAAUACCGCAUACGCCCUACGGGGAAAGAGGGACCUUCGGGCCUUCCGCGAUUGGAUGAACCUAGGUGGGAUUAGCUAGUUGGUGAGGUAAUGGCUCACCAAGGCGACGAUCCCUAGCUGGUUGAGAGGAUGAUCAGCCAACUGAACUGAGACACGGUCCAGACUCCUACGGCAGCAGUGGGAAUAUUGCACAAUGGGCAAGCCUGAUGCAGCCAUGCCGCGUGUGUGAAGAAGG